GGCCUCUUUCCCAUGGGGCCGCAGGGGUUUCUUUCCUCCUCAGCAAGGGCUGGAGGCCAAGAGCGACCCUGGAGGAUGAUUGCCGGGGCUGUCACAAGCUGGGCAGCCUUGUUUUCCUACUUCAGACUUUU